UACGUAGGGGGCGAGCGUUGUCCGGAUUUAUUGGGCGUAAAGAGCGUGUAGGCGGCCAGGUAGGUCGGUUGUGAAAACUGGAGGCUCAACCUUCAGAGGUCGACCGAAACCAUCUGGCUAGAGUCCGGGAGAGGAGAGUGGAAUUCCUGGUGUAGCGGUGAAAUGCGCAGAUAUCAGGAAGAACACCCGUGGCUAAGGCGGCUCUCUAGUACGGUACUGACGCUGAGACGCGAAAGCGUGGGGAGCGAACAGG
rnacentral:rRNA from 1 species